rnacentral:rRNA from 1 species
UGCUAUUUGGGUGAGAUUAAGCCAUGCAAGUCGUAUGGGAUACCUAAAGUUCCCAUGGCGCACUGCUCAGUAACACAUGAUUAACUUACCCUAUGGAUAAGAAUAACCUCGGGAAACUGAGGAUAAUAUUUCAUAGUUGAAAAGGCUUGGAAAAGUUUUUCAAUCAAAAGGAUAAGAAAAAUGGUUCUUAUCUGCCAUAGGAUAGGAUCGUGGUCGAUUAUGGUUGUUGGCGAGGUAACGGCUCACCAAGCCGAUAAUCGAUAGGGGCCGUGAGAGCGGGAGCCCCGAGAUGGGUACUGAGACAACGACCCAGGCCUUACGAGGCGCAGCAGGCGCGAAACCUCCGCAAUACACGAAAGUGUGACGGGGUCACCCAAAGUGUCCUUUAUAGGACUGUGAUAGGUGGGUAAUAUCCCCUAUCAGAAAGGAGAGGGCAAGGCUGGUGCCAGCCGCCGCGGUAAAACCAGCUCUUCAAGUGGUCGGGAUCUUUAUUGGGCUUAAAGUGUCCGUAGCCGGUUUAGUAAGUUCCUGGUAAAAUCGGAUAGCUUAACUAUUCGUAUGCUAGGAAUACUGCUAUACUAGAGGGCGGGAGAGGUCUGAGGUACUACUAGGGUAGGGGUGAAAUCUUAUAAUCCUUUUAGGACCACCAGUGGCGAAGGCGUCAGACUGGAACGCGCCUGACGGUGAGGGACGAAAGCUAGGGGAGCGAACCGGAUUAGAUACCCGGGUAGUCCUAGCCGUAAACGAUGCAUACUAGGUGAUGGCACGGCCAUGAGCCGCGUCAGUGCCGUAGGGAAACCGUUAAGUGUGCCGCCUGGGAAGUACGGUCGCAAGGCUGAAACUUAAAGGAAUUGGCGGGGGAGCACCACAAGGGGUGAAGCCUGCGGUUUAAUUGGACCCAACGCCGGGAAACUUACCAGGGGAGACAGCAGAAUGACGGUCAGGUUGACGACCUUACUUAACAAGCUGAGAGGAGGUGCAUGGCCGUCGCCAGUUCGUGCUGUGAGGUAUCCUGUUAAGUCAGGCAACGAACGAGAUCCGCGCCUUUAUUUGCCAGCAAGAAGUUAAGACUUCGUUGGGAACAAUAAAGGGACCGCCUUCGAUAAGAAGGAGGAAGGAGCGGGCAAAGGCAGGUCAGUAUGCCCCGAAACCCCUGGGCUACACGCGGGCUGCAAUGGUAUGAACAAUGGGCUGUGACUCCGAGAGGAGAAACCAAUCCCGAAAUCAUAUCUCAGUUGGGAUUGUCGGUUGUAACCUACCGACAUGAACGUGGAAUCCCUAGUAAUCGCGUGUCAUCAUCGCGCGGUGAAUACGUCUCUGCUCCUUGCACACACCGCCCGUCGCUCCAUCCGAGUGUACUAAAAAUGAGGCUUGGUCAGUCUGGUCAAUACGAGUUUUUAGUAUGCGAGGAGGGAGAAGUCGUAACGAGGUA